rnacentral:rRNA from 1 species
UUCGCAAUGCCCGAAAGGGUGACGGAGCGACGCCGCGUGUGGGAAGAAGGCCUUCGGGUUGUAAACCGCUGUCGGGAGUUAAGAAAUGUAAGGAUGUUAAUAGCAUCUUUGCUUGACUAAGGCUCCGGAGGAAGCCACGGCUAACUCUGUGCCAGCAGCCGCGGUAAUACAGAGGCGGCAAGCGUUGUUCGGAAUUAUUGGGCGUAAAGAGCACGUAGGCGGCUAUGUAAGUCGGUUGUGAAAGCCUUCCGCUCAACGGGAGAACAGCAUCCGAUACUGCAUGGCUUGAGUGCGGGAGGGGAGAGUGGAACUUCUGGUGGAGCGGUGAAAUGCGUAGAUAUCAGAAGGAACGCCGGCGGCGAAAGCGGCUCUCUGGCCCGUAACUGACGCUGAGUGUGCGAAAGCUAGGGGAGCAAACGGGAUUAGAUACCCCGGUAGUCCUAGCCGUAAACGAUGGGCACUAAGUAGAGGGGUUUU